rnacentral:rRNA from 1 species
GAUGAACGCUGGCGGCGUGCCUAAUACAUGCAAGUCGAGCGAACAGACGAGGAGCUUGCUCCUCUGACGUUAGCGGCGGACGGGUGAGUAACACGUGGAUAACCUACCUAUAAGACUGGGAUCACUUCGGGAAACCGGAGCUAAUACCGGAUAAUCUAUUGAACCGCAUGGUUCAAUAGUGAAAGACGGUUUUGCUGUCACUUAUAGAUGGAUCUGCGCCGCAUUAGCUAGUUGGUAAGGUAACGGCUUACCAAGGCAACGAUGCGUAGCCGACGUGAGAGGGUGAUCGGCCACACUGGAACGUAGACACGGUCCAUACUCCUACGGGAGGCAGCAGUAGGGAAUCUGCCGCAAUGGGCGGAAGCCUGACGGAGCAGCGCCGCGUGAGUGAUGGAAGUCUUCGGAUCGUAAAACUCUGUUAUUAGGGAUGAACAAAUGUGUAAGGAGCUAUGCACGUCUUGACGGUACCUAAUCAGAAAGCCACGGCUAACUACGUG